rnacentral:rRNA from 1 species
GAUGAACGCUGGCGGCGUGCCUAAUACAUGCAAGUCGAGCGAACAGACGAGGAGCUUGCUCCUCUGACGUUAGCGGCGGACGGGUGAGUAACACGUGGAUAACCUACCUAUAAGACUGGGAUAACUUCGGGAAACCGGAGCUAAUACCGGAUAACAUGUUGAACCGCAUGGUUCAACAGUGGAAGACGGUUUUGCUGUCACUUAUAGAUGGAUCCGCGCCGCAUUAGCUAGUUGGUAAGGUAACGGCUUACCAAGGCAACGAUGCGUAGCCGACCUGAGAGGGUGAUCGGCCACACUGGAACUGAGACACGGUCCAGACUCCUACGGGAGGCAGCAGUAGGGAAUCUUCCGCAAUGGGCGAAAGCCUGACGGAGCAACGCCGCGUGAGUGAAGAAGGUCUUCGGAUCGUAAAACUCUGUUAUUAGGGAAGAACAAAUGUGUAAGUAACUAUGCACGUCUUGACGGUACCUAAUCAGAAAGCCACGGCUAACUACGUG